GACGUAGGUGGCGAACGUUAUCCGGAAUUAUUGGGCGUAAAGGGUGCGUAGGUGGCCUGACAAGUUAUCAGUGGCAAAUCGAGGCUCAACCUCGUGGAAACUGGUAAUACUGUUCGGCUUGAGUACAGGAAAGGUUAACGGAACUCUAUGUGGAGCGGUAAAAUGCACAGAUAUAUAGAAGAACAUCAAUAAAGGCGAAGGCAGUUAACUAUUCUGUUACUGACGCUGAGGCACGAAAAGCGUGGGGAGCAAAACGG
rnacentral:rRNA from 1 species